rnacentral:lncRNA from 1 species
CCACACUCCUCAAGUCCUCUGUCUGCAGGAUACUAGGAUGCUGACCUUUCAUCAUUCCACUGACGUUAUGUGGCCUAAAAUCCUCAGCUUGAAGUCUCUAGGUCAACAGCUUAACAUGCAGGAUGUGCAAACGCCUGUGGUCUCAUCCACCAGAAAUUAUCGAAACUUCAGGGGAAAAAUUUAAACUUUCCUACACCAGAAUCAGCAUGAGAGAAGAACCUAGUUGCCACCCCAGCCAAUGAUGUGCAGCAAACCUCUUCACCAACUGGACACAGACGGUGGCCUCUCUCCAGAACAAAACAGACUGUUGGGUCUGUGGAGAGCUGACCCCUCUCCUCCACAGUGGGACUGCUAUGGGCAUCCAGGAUCAACUCCCAGCACACGGAAGGACUUUUUGUUUGUGUAGUUUGUAUUGCAGUAUGGCAUCUGGCUGCAAUGUUCCUCUGCAUGCCUGGCCCCAGGGAAAUUGCAGAAAAAUAGAUGAUAAGAACAUGAGGGCCACUCAAGGGCAUUUUGGGGUGGAGUGUACAAUAAAUUCACCUGGCAGCAGUGACUCGAGCAUACCCUGAGAGUGACCCUGUAUGGCAGACGCACCUGAAUGUGUGUUCAGAGAAUAAUUCCUUAUCUAUGAGAAACAUCUGAGCCCCCAGCCCAGCCUGUGAAACACUGGCCUUACAGGGGAUUCAGGCCCUGAGUUUGGGGUUAAAUGAAAAUUGCCAGGUGGAGGUUUUUAGGGGGAG